CACCGCCCGUCACACCAUGGGAGUUGGUUUCACCCGAAGGCAGUGUGCUAACCGCAAGGAGGCAGCUGACCACGGUGGGAUCAGCGACUGGGGUG
rnacentral:rRNA from 1 species